AAACCAUUCUGAUGACUCUCUAUCUCUAGCUUCAAUCUUGUUUUUGCCUGCCAUAUGUAACACUCCUGGUGAAGCCUCAAUUUGUACUUGAUUAAUUAAGGUGAGAGAUAAAGAUGAGCAGAAGAGGAAGUACCAGUCCAAAGCUUGAAUUGAAGCUAAACCUGUCUCCUCCAAGAGCUCACUCACCAAUUGGCUCCCCGAAUGCCUCCGAAUCAUCCUCGAACAUGUCGAUGGACCGCGGCUCUUGCGUGUCAUCGGAGCCUGAACAUCAGACGAUGUACUACCAGAGCAGCCCUGAAGCGAAGGCCAUGGUGCUUGCGGGGUGUCCACGGUGCCUCAUGUAUGUCAUGCUAUCUGAUGCCGAUCCGAAGUGCCCCAAAUGCAAAAGCACAGUCUUGCUCGAUUUCCUUAUUAACGAAGAAAGCACCAAGAGGACAAGAAUAUAAGGAGGAACAUGGCUUGCUUUUUGUUGUUCUCAUGGCGAAAGCCAGUACAAUAUUUUGUCAGCCUUUUGAGUAACUGUUGAAGUUUUUUGGUUCUUGUGGUUAAUUACGUCUUUUUCUUUUUCCCUUGUCCCCAUUUUUUUAUUUCCUUUGUUUUGCCCCAUCCAGUUGAUUGCCAUUAGGUUCAAGUAGCUACCCAGAGUUAGAUUGUGAAAUUUCCUUUUGUAGGUUUUCUUUUUUCUAUAUGCAUGCAUCAAAUCAAACGUUGUGCUUUCUUGUUUAGUGGUAAUGGUUCUGAAGAUGUUAUAGAAUCCGACUCUUUUUCUCAA